AUGUAUUUUGUAAAGCUGAAUAAGUCAUUAUAUGGCUUAAGGCGGUCGGGACGGAUGUGGUACAACCAACUUAGUGAGUUCCUUCUUCAGAAAGGUUACUCCAAUAGUUUUGAUUGCCCAUGUGUCUUCAUCAAGAAGUCCUCUACAGGAUUUUGUAUCAUUUCGGUGUACGUUGAUGAUCUCAACUUCAUCGGUAGCACACCAGACAUUGAUGAAGCACACAAUCACCUAAAGAUCAAAUUUGAGGUGAAGGAUUUGGGUAAAACCAAAUUUUACUUAGGUAUUCAACUUGAGCACCUUCCCUCAGGAAUCAUGGUACACCAAUAUGCCUAUAUCCAGAAAAUAUUGGAGAAAUUCAAUAUGGACAAAUCAUAUCCAUCUAAAACUUCCAUGGUGGUUCGAUCUCUAGACGUAGAGAAAGAUCUGUUCAGGCCAAGGGAUGAUGGAGAAGAGGUGUUGGGACCUGAAGUUCCAUACCUCAGUGCCAUUGGAGCGCUUAUGUAA
rnacentral:rRNA from 1 species